UCAGGAGUGAUCAAGCCAGAGCUUUUGGAUAAUUCCUGGCUGUCAUUGCCCAGUUUCUUGAGGGACUCUGCUGGGAAUAAUCAAGUCCUGAGAAGGGUCCUCUCCUGGAGUUCGAGGUGAGGGGAUUAGCUGGGAUCUGGAUCCUCAGAACAAGAGACGGAGAAGAGGCCAGGACCCGAGCUGGCUCCGUGCAUGCUGAGAGGGGCCCAAUUCCCCUCACCUGGUCUGGGGACUGUGAGCUCUCAUUGCUCCCCAGUAACCUCAGCCCCACUUGGGUUUUCAUUUUGGAAAAGUCAACUUUCUCUAAAUAGCUUCCUGGAGAAGAUUGAGGGGAGGGCAGGGCUGGACUAGCCAUGUGACUUUGGGCAAAUAACUUAGCUUCUCUGAGCUUGGGUUUCAUCAUCUGUGAGCCUCACCUUAGGUCUUUUUGGCUGCUGUAACACAUUACUGCAAACUUAGUGACUUAAAACAACGCACAUUUAUUCUUCCAAAGUUCUGGAGGCCGGAAGUCCAAAUCGGCUACCAAUGGGCUGAAAUCAAGAUCUUGAGCCCUUCAGGGGCUGAGGUUGAAUCUGGUACAACAUCUCUGCCUGUAUCUGGUGCCCAGCCUAGAAGCUGGUGUAGAUGAGGGGCCAGGAAAGGGAUGGAGGAUCCUGCAGCAUGGCCUGGGAAUUCAGGACUUCAACGACAAUGAAGAAGAAAUACUGCCAAGAGCUGAGGUACCACUGGCAUCACUUGGGCCUGUGCCAUUCUGCCCACAUCCCCUUGGAAGUACAGAAUGGAGUACAGAAUCCCCCUCCUAUCUGGACUAGGCAGGGAGUUGAGGUGUGAUGAGGCCUUGCCAGCCGCUCUUCAUGGUGGGAAUACAUUCAAAUCCAGCCUCACCUGGAUAUCCCCCAGGGAGCUGAGCCUUAGGUUUUGUGACAGAAUUUGAGGCAGUGAAUGCUGACCCA
rnacentral:lncRNA from 1 species